rnacentral:rRNA from 1 species
GUAAAGCGUGCGCAGGCGGUUUUGUAAGACUGUCGUGAAAUCCCCGGGCUCAACCUGGGAAUGGCGAUGGUGACUGCAAGGCUAGAGUUUGGCAGAGGGGGUAGAAUUCCACGUGUAGCAGUGAAAUGCGUAGAUAUGUGGAGGAACACCGAUGGCGAAGGCAGCCCCCUGGGUCAAAACUGACGCUCAUGCACGAAAGCGUGGGGAGCAAACAGGAUUAGAUACCCAGU